rnacentral:miRNA from 1 species
CCUGCUGCAACAUUCACUUGGC